rnacentral:rRNA from 1 species
UACUCCUACGGAGGCAGCAGUAAGGAAUAUUGGUCAAUGGAGGGAACUCUGAACCAGCCAUGCCGCGUGGAGGAUGAAGGUCCUCUGGAUUGUAAACUUCUUUUAUAUGGGGCGAAAAAGGGUCUUUUUAGAUCAACUGACGGUACCAUAUGAAUAAGCACCGGCUAACUCCGUGCCAGCAGCCGCGGUAAUA